UGGAACAAUACUGGAACAAUAAAGAAAUAAACUGAUGAAAUGAGACCAUGGCAGUGACCUGAAGGAUUGACAAAUUCUUUAUGAAUCUCUUUUACAACGACUAAAUAUAUCCAACUCUCUUGACCUCUGUUCACCUUUGACAUGGAAGUUCCAAACUCAGACUGCUGGCUUCUGCAGAGAGUCACCUGCUGGAGAUUUCAAAGCCUUGUCCUUGCAUAGCAUACAGUCAUGGAUCUGCAUUUAAUGGCCUCCACAUCAGUGAAUUAAAAGAUGUUAUUGGCACAUUGCAGCACAUGAUCUUCUAGUCCCUGGUGCUUAUCUAUAGACUGGACAUCCCCAAAAUUGAUUGUCAGCUUGGUGGAAUUUGUGCUGUCAUGUUCUGCCUUUAUAAUAUGCAAUUAGUGAUAAUCAUAGCAACAAACAGCUGAUAAAAACAGCCAAAUGUUUUGAGAACAGGCAUAAAACAUCUUAGAAAACAAAUGGCUUUUCUGCAAUGCAGAGGAUGCAUCUUUAAAAUCUAUACUAGGCCACCAUUAUUUGUUGGAGCUGCUAAUAACCAAAGACUGUCAUAGUAUAUUUUAUAAUCUUUAGGGAUGAAUGACAUCAACAAAAAAACAAAAAACCCAGCAUAGUGAUCAGCUGUUUUUCAUGUACCUUCAAUUUAUCCCUGGAACUGUUGAGGUGAAAGGCUUAUACUGUAAAUGAAUGACAACUCAAGAAAAUUGUGCAGUUUUCCAGGGAGAAUUAAUUUAACCAAUGACAUUACAGGAAUAUCCUUUGCAUCACAUGUUAAAGGUUAUACCAUGAUAAAGUUAUAAAUUUACUGGAUUCUGUAUUAGGGAGAGUCAAUAGCAAGCAUGCCAACCUGCACAGCAUUUACAGAAGUUAGCCUCAAUCUUCCUGAGAGAGUUCUUCUAGCUUUCCAUCCUGACUAGCCUACAAAACCAAGCAGGUUUCUCAAAAAGAGAUGGGAAAAGGAAACCAGCCCACUUCAGAAUUUCAUUAAAGAACAGAAACUGUGGUACAUGAGUUUCAAAGACUUCCAAAGCUUCUAGUUUCUACUAUUACUUGAAGCUACAUUCUGUAUCUCUGAAAGUGUGCAUUGCUUCUUUAAAUAAAUAGGAACCACAUACAAUGUA